rnacentral:rRNA from 1 species
UACGAAGGGGGCUAGCGUUGCUCGGAAUCACUGGGCGUAAAGGGUGCGUAGGCGGGUCUUUAAGUCAGGGGUGAAAUCCUGGAGCUCAACUCCAGAACUGCCUUUGAUACUGAGGAUCUUGAGUUCGGGAGAGGUGAGUGGAACUGCGAGUGUAGAGGUGAAAUUCGUAGAUAUUCGCAAGAACACCAGUGGCGAAGGCGGCUCACUGGCCCGGUACUGACGCUGAGGUGCGAAAAGCGUGGGGAGCAAACAGG